rnacentral:misc_RNA from 1 species
GAUGCAGCAAACACCCUCUGUUUUACCGGAAGUCUAACCAGAAGUCCGCUUAAAUCACUCGCUUAAUCGAUAGUGAUCUGAAGGUCAGGUUGGUCAUUCUAAACUGAAGUGGAGAUAAGAGCCUUAAGAUCUUGUGACAUUGUCCACAGUUUUCACUACAGAUUGUUCCUGGAGAAGAUACUCUGCUGGAUUGGGAUCAUUUACAACCAAACUGCAUGAAAAGUUCUGCAAGAUGUCUUCUGUUCUGUGAGCAAUCAAAAUUGUGCUCUACUGCCUUUCAAGGUCUACUGUUAGGUAUGUAGCUUACAAAUUGGGGAUUCAAGAAGCUUUGCUUGAAGUAUCAGUGGUUUGAAUGAAAAUGCUUGUGAAGUACCUCUCAGCUGUUAUGUUCUAAGAUUUAAAACAAGGACAGGAACAUGAUUAUGGUAGGUGCAUGACUGGACAGUGGUGAAAAAUGGAGGAUAGAUGGGAUAUACAGCUUGAUAUAUUUAAUCUUCUUGCUUUGUGAUAACAAUUAACCUGCCAAACCUUUGGUGGUAAUUGAAAGCACUGGAGGGGUAUUGGAUAUCAGGCCCAGGGAUUGGGUACAGGUGUUGCUGUAUGCAUGAAAGGGAAUCUAUAGAGGAAUAAAGAAAUUGUUGUUAUAACAAGAAACAUGUCAAAAUCAUCAUUGCAAUAGUGACAAUUUUUAAAGAAAAAUGAAUAAUUAUAUUUCCGUAUCUGAUAUUUAGCAGUAGUUAAAAUGAUAAAAUGAAGGUAGAGAAAAUUAAGUUGGGUAUUUGUCCCCAAAGUAGAAAAAAAUAUUCACUCCCCCUUUUAAGAAUUAUGAUCAAAGUAUUUUGUGAAAAAUAUAGCAUUCAAUCAGUAUAAAGUUGUUGUAAGAGCAGUAUGUGUUUUUAUGUGAAUAACUAAUACCCAUCCAAAAGUUUUUCAUGUGAUUUGUUGUGAAAAAUGGCACUGGCAUUUCUGUUCAGAUGCUAGGCAAGUUAUUGAUUUGGACAUUUAAGUUGGAAAUAAAAGCUUCUCCUGAAGUUCAUUUGUAACAAUUAGGUGAAUAAGACUAUAGCUGCACAAAAGCAGACUAACUAGUCCAGGGAUCAAAUAGGGCAACCCAUUUAAAGGCUUGCAGUGCAAUUCCCAAAGAGGGAUUUUGAGGUAGUAAUGUUUAAUUCAACAACUUAGGCAAAAGUGUUCUUUUAACAUUUUUUGUAUCUUAACAAUAUUAUUAGCUGAUUAUAUAAAAAAUAUUGGUUAGUUUGUUAUCAUGUAUUGUGUAAUAAAUAGUCAGAUAAGGAAAUAAACCCAUCAGUGUAGUUUGUCACGUUCAAUCCCUCACUAGAUUCAGAAUCUCAGAAUGGAGCACAUUGGACAUUAAAAAUUGUAAGUUGUGACUUUGAACCUACUUUGGCUUGAAGACCUUUGCUAAUCACAAUUUCUGAAUAUCCAUGAUACUUAUGUUUUAUUAUUAAAAAUUGAUGGUCAUUGGGCUGUUGAGCCUUAUGUAGUAUUGCAUCAAAAUUGAAAUAAAACCCUUU